UACGUAGGCGGAAGAUUAAGUCAGUGGUGAAAUCCUGCAGCUUAACUGUAGAACUGUCAUUGAUACUGGUUUUCUUGAAUUUAGUUGAGGUAGGCGGAGUGUGUAAUGUAGCGGUGAAAUGCUUAGAUAUUACACAGAACACCGAUUGCGAAGGCAGCUUACUAAACUAUGAUUGACGCUGAGGUACGGAAGCGUGGGGAGCGAACAGGAUUAGAUACCCUGGUAGUCC
rnacentral:rRNA from 1 species